ensembl:lncRNA
CCGGAAACAAAAAAUGUAGAGGAAACGGAACGUUUCUUAAAUAGAUCUCAAUACAUGACAUUGUGGACACUCAACAUUACAGUAAAUGACUUUCAAUAUGGCAAAAUACCGUUUCAUUUUCAAAUAGAGGUUUUCCAAUUUUUGAUUCCUGAAAUCUUUCAAUACCUUAAAUAACCACAAAAGAAAUGGACAAAAUAACUUAAUUCAUUUAAAUACCGUCUUGUGCAGAUAUUCAGAUAAAGUCUGAUGGAAGUACCACUCCCAAACAUGAUCAAAGACACACACCGUAUAAAUGAUUUUUUUGAUUCAGUGUUUAUAGAAAAUGUCCUUUCCACAUUCAGGGAAUGCCUUCUUUGCAUUAGGGUCACUGGUUUAAAAAUAAAUCCACUGAGAUAACCAUAUCAUUCACCUUGAGGCUAUCGCCUCUAACCAUACUAUCAAUCUCAAAACAGUGCCGCAAGCUACCAAGGACGACACAGAACUUACUCCUGAGGCCUUUUGUCAGCGGCAAAUUGAGUUGCAAGGAUUUUUGCACUUUUUGAACAGCAUUUAACAGGAAAAUAAGUUAUGAAUAUUAUAAAAUGAUUACUCAAUAUAGAAUUCGCUCAAAAAACAAGUACAGGGAUUUACUUUCACUAUGGAAAGAUGUGAAAAUUCCCCUAAAACUCCCUCUAAACACCCUAUAAAUAGCCUUUGGGGAGGGAUUUCCCAACUAGGUAUUCUUUUUUUCAUUGUCGUUGCAGUGAAGUAAAACCCAUAUGCAUUCCGACAUAAAACGAAAACAAUCGUUCUAAAGCAGAGUUUCAGUCCAAGCGGUGAUAAACAUCUGGCCCCUUCAACGACACUUGACCGAACGGCCUGCGGUGCUUUUUGUCCCUUUGUCCGCCCCGUAGAAACGGGAAGUACAAGAGAAAGCUACUGAAAAAUAAAAACAAAUUGAUGCUAAAACAUCCAAACAUAUUUGUCCCAAAAUGGACAGUCAGAACCCAAAGUCAACGAAUAACGAUUCACGCUGCGUAUUUUUUAACACAGUUUCAGAAGACUACCAAUGUGUAAGUAGCUGGCAUACUUGUAAACUCAUUAUAGGCGCUUGUUUUUAGCUCACGUUAACUUACGUUAGUUUGCGACAUAGCAUGUAGUUGUUAGCUCACUAAUAGUUCGGUCAUUUUGUAUUAGAGCUGAUUCAUUGACCGACUCUCCGACACGCUUUAAAGGCACAACUGAGCUGCUGACUACCGACGCUGCAGCGCGACCGUUAGCUCGACCGGCUCACUAGCUAGCGCGAGCUAACGUUCCUCUGUCGGCUCUGCUAAGCUACUGAAGCUAAGCUAGCUGAGCAUUAUUACUCAAGCGAGCAGCGGUGUUUUACAUGCGUGACACGCUGUGGAAGCUAUGCAUGGAGACAAGGAGAGUUUCCUAUCUUUAAAUUAGACCAUGAGCCUGUUUUUCUCUUCAGUUAGCCGGAGAGAAGGACAGCAGCACAACAAAGAUAAGACUACAACAUCCGUGGUGAAAUACAACUGAAUACACGUAUUCGUGUCCUUCACUGAAUUGCUUGUACUUCACUUAAGUAUACACACUUUGCUGUGUGCAAUUUUAUUCGUUUAUUUCAAUACAUGUCCGAGGGUAAUGCACGUUUUACUUCACUAAAAGGCAGUAGAGUAACACUAUUAUUUAAAGAAACGUACCCACUGCUUUGUAUAUCAACACUAUGAAUUAAAUCCAUUAUAGUAGAUCAAUCUCCCCAGCAGUAUGUAAAGACGUCACUCUUCCCCUACCUAUUUUAACAUUUAAGUAAUUUGGGAAUAUUCUGCUAUUUCUACAUUUACUAAAGUUAAUGAUCUUGAUAAUGAUCUGAAUACACACUAUAUAUAUAUAUGAAUAUAUCUCCAAGCGCUAGUACAGCACUGAUGACGUCCAGUUUUAAUGCACAUAUUGUCAGUUGCGUUGGACAAAAACAUCAGUCAAAUGAAUAUUACGUAGUGAUUUAUAAUUUUGUUGUAUUUAAUAGCAACAUUGCAAAUUGUCCAAGACGACAACACUAAACAUAGGCUAUAAAAUAUCCAGGGCUUGAAUAAACAACUCUCUGGCAGAGCAUCAGAACAAAAAUAACUCAUCAUGACCUUCAUAACUUGCGGAUGCAAAGGUCUCUUGAAAUCCCGCCAGGUCGUAGCAUUGAGUACACACCCAGAGGAUGACAAUUAACCCGUCUUCACAAAACACAGCAGGCUACCGUAGUUCCAUAGAUGGUCUCUGUCUGUGGUGCGUUGGUGUUAACGUGCGAAGGUAAAAUGUUCUUGUGUCAGCAGCUUUAGGCUGCAGGUCAUCCUGCACUCGCUCGGCCUGAAUAAGAAUGCUGCACCAAUGCUGUCUUCCCUUGAGCCCACAUUUCUCUUCCAACUACGAGCAGUCGCUGACGAUACAAGCACUGGAUCCCAGUGCCCUGCCCACGGUCUUAUUAACCCAAAUAAAGACGGCCCACAGCAACCAAGCAGUUAUACCGGUUUGAGUUUGGUAACACCCAAAGUGGUCGUUUUCAUCAUUUAUUCACCAUAACUCUUCCAUUUUAUCCACUAUUCAUGUGUUCUUGCCAUCGGUUCUGUUUGUUGCAUCAUCCUCGUUUUUUCACAAUUUUCACAAUUUCAGUUGUUUCAGUUCCUCAUUCGUGCUGCUAUAGUACACCAUUUACUCAAUGUAAUCACAGUUAGUCAAACUAAAGUUGUCUGGGAUAUUUUGAUAAUCUAUCCAUCGUUGAAGUAAGUUUUUUGACAAAAAGCAAACGUUUCCUUGUUCAAGUUUUGGUGUUUGUCUUUGAUCUAAUAAAUCUCAGGUAUAUUUGUGUAAAACAUUACACAGAUGUUUGUGUGACUUGCAUUUCAUAAAGAGGGAAAUCCGUACAGCAGAAAGGCAUAUAUAAAGGCAUAAUAAAGGUUUCCAAAAAGCCAGAUCACGUCUGCCCUAUUAAUAAGACAAAAUGUAGGAAAAUACAGUCUUUUAACACUCUGGCAGUUGCGUAAUGGGAGCCAUCAUUGAAAUGUAAUUAAAUCAGUAAUAAAAUGUUACAAGACUGUUGACCAUGUUUCUUUAUCUGUCCAAAAAUCUUACGUUACUUCAAAAACACCCUGAGUCCAUACGGUAAAUAACAUCCGUCACGUAGCUGUGUCCAUGUUCUCUGCACAGGGCCACGUGUGUGUGUGGCGACCGCUCCCAGGGAACAGGUGUACAACCCUGUGCAGGAGUGGUCGUGCCCAACGGGUCUCGCUCUGCUUUGCAUGCCAGACUUCUGCCGGGCUCCUUUGUUUUCCCCGAGGCUGUUGGGUUGAACUCGCACGCUUCCUCUCAUUUCUUUGUUGUUUUUUCUCUCCGAGCAGCUCUCCCAUCAGCUACCGCUUUGGUACGGUGUCUUUUUUGCACAUAUAAACAACAUUUUAUUAGACGUCUUUCAGGUACACACAUGCUUGCACACACAAAAAAGCAUAUGGGAGCAAAUUGCAGGGUGGUGAUCACAGUCAUUUUCUAAGUCUAUGAUUAGAAUAAUGGCAGCGCUGUGUUUGUGUUGCACUUCUGACAAAGUUUGCACAAUGUUUUGCUCCAACAAAAAUAUUGCACUGAGCAAGUAGUGCAUAUGUCCACUUAGUGUAUAGUUGAUUUUGUUAGUAUUUGUGGAUGUGAGCUGUGUUCUGCCCAGUCGUAAGGACUCGUUUCUCUGUUACAGGUGGUGAUUUUAAGGGUAAAACGAGCCACAGGAACCUUCUCCUUAGUAGGAUGCGUUUUCAUGCUCUUUGUGAUUUGGCUGCUUCGCAGGUAUCACUCUCUGGCUCAGAAGAUGAUUCUCAGCCUGACUGUAGCUGCCUUCUUCAACAGUGUAGCAUACGUCAUGGGUGACUCACAUCCAGUGGGAGCUCUGUGUGACUUCCAGGCCUGCUGGUUAACUUACUUUGACUGGAGUGCCUUGGCCUGGGUUUGUCUCAUCACUCUGAACCUCUACCUCAACCUGGUGAGAGAAAUCAGCACCAACCGAUACGAGAUGUUGUACCAUCUGAUGGCGUGGGGGCUUCCUCUGGUCAUGGCCUCCCUGCCCCUGCUAAAGGGCUACUACGGCCCCGCUGGAGCCUGGUGCUGGAUCACAGACGAUCACGUAGCCUGGAGAUUUGGGAUAUGGUACGUGCCUCUGUUCAGCCUCAUCUUCUUGAUGAUCUGCUGCUACGCGCGGAUAAUCUGCGUGGCCACCGCAAGGAUGCAGUCAUGGUUGGGAACCUUCAACCCAGAGAGAGAGAGACGAAAGGUAAUGGCCUGUCCGAGAGUCACAUUUCUCCACGCACGCACACACCGAGCGUGAGGAUUAGAGUGUGUGCAGGAUUAGCUUUGGUGUUCCCGCUGGGUAGGUGUCAAACGGCGGGGAGCAAUUUGACCUUGUGACACUUGUGUGUGUGCGUUUCAUGGGCUUGUGUGUGUCCGUCUGUGCGCGCCAGCCCGUCCAUGCAUAUUUAAAUUUUGGAGCAGCGGCGCCUCUGCUCCUGACCUUACUGAAAGGAAAAGAAGGACAGGGGAGGCUGCCUGGGAAAAAUAUUAAGAUCUAGAGCAGUCCGAUUGUGAAAACAGGACAUGGGCUGCCGGGGAAAAGAGGAGAACGCCUCAACCUCCGGUUCUGCCGAGGGAACCCCGCGCGGCGUGUUACUGUCAUUCCCUCUACGGCCCAGCAGGGGGCGACUCCUCUGGUGGCAGAAAGAAGUCCUAUGUACGAUGUCUCUAUGAUGAAAGUCCUGCUUUGAACAGGACCGUGUUGACAUGCUGUAAAUUGCAAAUACGUCGACCGGGAAUCGUUGUGGUUGUGCAGUGAAGAAGGAAGAAGACCACCAGUGAAAACAACCCGAACCAAACUGCUAUUCCGAAGAGGAGUCAUAAUUAACUGUAACAUAUUAACAGACUUCUGUAUUGCCUUUGCACAAGUCCAGUAAGGAAGAAAGAAAGUCAGGUAAUCCAUUUAUUAUCAGACGACUAACGUUCGAUAUCCUGUAAACUAGGGGUGCCCAACCAACACGCCGCGGACCAGUACCGGUCUGUGGGCCAUAUUGACCAAUCCGCGAUUUAUUGUCUCAUAUGAAAACGGUCCGACGGGCAAAAAAGGUUGGAGACCCCUGCUGUCCCCAACCUGUCAAUCUAAUAACUGGCCUUCUUUGACGUGCAGUUGGGUUUUCAGUGGACUGUUUGUAAUGUCAGUCUGGUGCGGAUGCCAAGUUACAAAAAUUCUGAGAUGCCCGUCCAUGAGCGACAUUUCACGCUGUUACAGAGAAACGUUUGUAUGUAAUUCAUUGUCGUGUGAAGCAUUUUACAUUUAAAAGAAAACAUUCUUUCUGAAAUGUGUUCAAAAAAAAAUUGUCCCCUACAUGUAUGGAAGAGCCGUACUAAUCUGCUGGACAGCAAUGGAUUGAUAUGCAAUCAUUAAUUUCCAUUACUGGUAUCGGGAAGUGGCAUCUAACACCUGCCCACACAGAACUACUGCCCAAUGGUUUAAGCCUUGAAAUCCUGCACAAAGGUGCUCAGGGUCACACUCCUAUUCACCACGCGUCCAGCAGCAGCAGCAGUACCUGUUCUGUUGUUACCCCCCCCCCCUCCAGGGUGCGCUGGGGGGGGGGGGCAGUUUAGGGUUAAGGUUAUGUAGAUGCUGCCCCUAAGUGGCAGAUGUAAUUACUGCACAUUGAACUGGCGUAACCCUCACCGCCCAGACAACACACGCACACACACACACACACACACACACACUGUUCAUGUGGGCUAAUUGCUACGUGUAAAUAAGUCAGCAGGGUUUUUUUUUUAUCACACACUCGUUUCCUCGUAUUUCUCUUCCCCAAUCGCUCUCCUCGUUUCCAUCUGUUUUCCUCUGCCUCUCGCUUCGGUCCUCCUCUCUCUCUCUCUCUUCCCCCCCUACUCUUUUUUGUUCUCUCCUUCCCUCCCUCCGUCUCUCUCCCUCUCUUGUACCCAGCAUGAAUAAAGCAGCAAGCCAGGUUCAUGGACAUGAAUAUUUAUGAGUUUAUGCACGCGCUGCGAUGCUUUAAAACAACAACAACAGCCUCCCCGAUUGUGCUUGCCAAGCCAGCGAGCUCUCUGGCUUGUGUGUGUGUGUGUGUGUGUGUGUGUGUGUGUGUGUGUGUGUGUGUGUGUGUGUGUGUGUGUGUGUGUGUGUGUGUGUGUGUGUGUGUGUGUGGCAGCAGGUGUAAACUAGAGAAAGCGAUUCCUGCUGGGUGUCUGAAGACCGCCGGCUCUGGUUAUUUCCAUUCACUUCGCCACAUCUCCCUCCUGCUGUGCCUCACAUGUUCUCUGUCGCCAUCUCUCUCACACUGUGCCACACGCACACACACACACACACACACGCAUACAAGAGCAUGCAUGCUUCUUUUGUUUUGCAUUCACGCAUGUAGUUUCCUGCGUUCACCAUUCUUGAUCUUUUCUCUCGCUCUGACUCAGCCUGGCACCAUCCCCCUUCUUCGCUGUGUGUGUCUGUGUGUGUGUGUGUGUGUGUGUCUGUGUGUGUGUGGGGCUGGAGAGAUGACGUACGUAACUGGUGUUGGCAGUUAUCAGGGCCGUCAGUCACAUGGUUUCGACACAUCUCUCUGUGUCUCGAGCAAUUUGUUUGUGGUCACGCAUGAAUACGCACACACACACACACACACACACACACAGCGCACAAGGUCUUGGAGCAGCAUAGGUAAGUAGGGGGGGGGGGGGGGGGGGGGUAUUUAGAAGAGGGUGUUUAAAUCAGGCCUUCCGAACACACACACACACACACAAAAACAGGCGGACUUCUGAACACGUUUGCCCACACAGCAGCUCGGUCCCGUCGGGUAGCAACAAAGCUGGCUGAGCAAACAGCGAGCUGCUUGUUCGUUAUCUUCCCCGGGUGUUUGUUUACUGAUCCACACAAGCUUCCAGUCACAAUGGGACGUGUCAGCUCGCGUGUCCUGGUGCACGUACGUGACGCUCAACCUUGUUCCUCGCCGAGCGGAAGGCCCUACCGCUCCGUGUAGCCGUCCUUAAUUCCUGUGCCAAAUUUUUUUUUUUUUCCCACACCUCAACGACGCCGUGAAGGCGCCGCGGUGCUGCAAGGACAGUUGGCUUUGUGUCUCCCAGGCGCCGCACGCCGCUCUGCCAGAACGCGCGUACCUCCGUUUGGAGGGAUCGGCGCCCCAGCUGUCAGAUAGCGAGACGCUCUGAGCAGCUCAGUAAUCCUCGCCGGUGUCUUUAACGGGAUGUGUUUGGCUUUUAUCUGUCCUUUUUAUUUGCUACAUCAAUCUCGCCAAAAUUGCCAUUUUGUAGCUUGUCUGGAGCUUUACGUUGUAGAGCCUCGUCUUCGUGAGGUCGCUAAUAAAAAUGAUACGUUUAUAUUUCUAUUUAAACUUUUCCAAAAAGACUCAAUGGUUCAAAAGUAUUUAUCCAAAAAUGACAUUCUAAUUUACUUAUAAAUGCACGCUCUAAAUCGUGAGUAAAACCUAAUUGUGUUAAUCUUGCAGCAGAAGAUUUUAAUUUCUCAUGGAAACGUUUCAUUAUGAAAUUCUAAAUACGUUUGUACCCUGAUUUUAAGUGUACAAAAAUAGCUUGUUUUUUAAGGUCCCUGAAUGUGAUGUUCCCGUUCGCUGGAGCGCCGCUGUUCUCUUUGGAGGAGGUUAUCUCUUUCUUCCUCUCCCGGUGAAGGGGCCCGGUCGCUCCCGACAACGCCCCAGUAAUCUAGCGUGCGUCAUUAAUGUCCGGUCCGCUGCCCCCGGCGCACACAAUUACGCUUUCAAUCCGCGGGGGACGGCGGGGGGGGGGGGGAUGUGAUUAAAAACACCCGGCUCUUUAGCCGCGCUCUCCCUCUUCCUCCUCCUCCUCCUCCUCCUCCUGGUCCACAUCCUGCCUCUUGCGCAUUGAAAUUCCUCAAAUGCCUGCCUCUAUCUACGCCGUACUUCUACCCCCCCACCGCCCCCCCAUCCCAGUGCGUAGACUCCUGGCUCGCCUUUUCCCUACGUCCCAAUGACACAACCUCCACCGCGCGCGCGCACACGCACGCACGCACACACACACACACACAAUAGGCAGAGCUUCCUAUAUGCUUAAUGUUAACCCUUCUGCUCUACCCAACGAGACCCUGCUCGCGUGCACGCGGCGCAGUGGAAGCUCGGCUUUUUUAUUCAAUAUUUUUGAUUUGCACUGACGCACGCGCGCACGUACAUAAAAUGAAAUACCACGGGUGGGUGGGUCCUCGUGAUUUCCAUUAGAAUGGUUAAGAAUACCUUCUCUAGAGCUCGCACGCCUCGGGGUAUUUUCUGGUGAGUAAUUAAUUUUCCAGCAUGUGGGGGGGGGGUGGAGACCGGAGCUCGCGGGCCCAUGCCUUCUGGCUCCGACUGCGCGCGCGGGCGUGUGCGACUGCUACCGCGUCCUAGUUUCAAAUUGGAGGAGGAGGGGGAGGGAGGGUGCGUGUGCGUGUGCGCUCGCGUGUGUGGAGGAAACAGCGCAGCGCAGCGCAGAAAAUCGAUCCAGGGGCCGCGCUUCUCAGCCUCCUUCCGGGCGCACGAGUCCUCUGCGGGGAAUU